AUCAAAACAGCCCUUGACAGUGCAGGUGUGUGUUGGUGUUUUUGAGCAGGCGUGUGUGUUCUUCGGACACAGGAGAGAGCUGCCACCGCCGCACUCAGCCCAGUCGAGGACACCAAGGCCAGAGUGAGAGAAGGAGAGAGAGAAGGGACAUAGAGCCAGGUUGCUAAAAAAUAAACUCCUCAGGGUUGUUGGAGAGUUGAUCUGGUUUCUACUGGGAAAAGGUUCUAGAGACCGCUAAGAUGUUUUUCCGCAUCCCUCGACUGACCCCUGGAUACAUCAGAUACUUGCAGACUCAAGCUGCCCAGACCGUGCUGCAGAGCCGGGAAGGGCCCAUGAUGUCGAGGGUGGCCAUGCUGCUAGGACUGAUGGGAGUUGGGAUGUCUGGGUACAGCUCACGACAGCUCACCCUGCACUGCAAGCCCUCCGCUAACCUGCUGAGAUGAGGCAAGACACAACACCUCUGACCUUCCACCUUGAAGACGACAACAUGGAUAAGAUUGAUCACUGGAGCAUAUCCAAUACCCCUGGAUUCCACUUACACUACAAGAAUUUGUAAGUCGCUCUGGAUAAGAGCGUCUGCUAAAUGACUUAAAUGUAAAUGUAAAUGUAAGAAUAAUUAGUCUCUGUUUCCUAAAAAGGUUUUGUUUUAGUUGAGUUUUGAUUUCCCCCAUUCUGGUUGAAGUUUGGGACGAACCAAGUUCAGAUUCUUAUUCUGAAAAGUUUAAUAUUGAAGAUCGAUACUUUAAGGUUCCACAUGCACAGUUAUGACCAUAUAAGGUUAUCCCUCCAUUUAAAAAAAUCUAUAUUCUUUUAAACUACCUCUCCCGUUCAAACCAGUUAAAGUGUUAUUCAUCCAACAUACAUCAAUACAUUCUUAUUGAGCUCUUAAUGUUUUCUUGAGCUGGUAACAUCCUCAACUUUAACCACCCAUUUUAUUUUUGUAAUUCUGUGCCUUAAAGGGAGCGAUCCAUUAAAAUCAGUUUAAAACACCAAAUGGUGUUACCUCACGCUAACCCAAGAAGACCAAAACCCAAGAAAUAAAGACAUCGCAAUGGAGAAAUAUUAAAUAUGUCAAAUAUUUUUCAAAACCUGCCGAAAUUCCCCAGUCCGCCUGUUUAUUGCCAUUCUCUUGUCUGUGUUUGGCAAGGCAUGUAGACAGAGAUUAGCCCCUCUGUUUUAGGGAAAGGUAUCCAGUGUUUUCCUGAAUAAUGUCACGAGUGGCAGGGAAGGAGAGCGAAAUCAAAAUGGUAGAAUCUUGGAACUCGGAGAAUCCAGUUGGUCAUAGGGUUUAUAAAAAUGUUUUUUUUUUUGUCUGUUAUCAUCAAUGCUCUUGAUUCUGGAGACAAGAUUCCUUCAUUUGGUACUUGCUUUACUUUCUUUGUCUGCUAUGUUUGCAUGCAAAGAAAUACAGGAAAAAUCCUUUGACCAAGAUUCAAAAUGUACUCAACCGACCUGCUUCCAAUUGUAUUUUCUAAUGUCUUUUUUUAUUUGAUCAAGCCCAACUUUUUUUCCAUUGAACCUUUUUGAUUUUGCACAGUGAAAAGAUUGAUAUUUUUACAUACAUUCUUUUCACCAAAACACUCUGACACUUUGCACUUUUUAAAGAAUGUAUGUGUGUGUACAUAAUAUGUACAUAUGUGAAUUAUUCAAGAUUGAAGAGAUUAGUAGAUGGUUAAGUGACAUGGAAAGUGACGCCAGAUUGGUUUGAGAACUAGUCUGGGUGGAAUCCAGCUGGAUUCACACACGGCACCACAGUUUGGUAUCAGGCAUCCAGGACAGCCACCCUGGAUGGACCUCACUGGACGAAUGCCACCGUAUGUGUGAAUUCACCGAGAUUCCUCCAAGUUGUCCUCCAUGUUUGUCAGAAUUGGGAUGUUUAGAUUAAUGGCCAUAUGGUCUCUUAACAUAGCUAGCAUGAAAUACUAUUUAUAUUUCCUUUAGAUUCAGAACAUGCAGUACACACUUUGUAAUAAGGGAAAUAACUUUAACACGACAGCAUAUGAAUGUAUCACCGACACAAUGAAUGUUUCUUAGUGGUAUACUGUAAUUGUAAACAUGAACGUACUGUAGGUUACUGUGUCAUAACCAUGGGAUCCCACUAGUCUGGUUUAGGGGAAACAGUGGAUGUAACCAGACCUUAGAUUUACACUGGAUUCUCCAAUAGAACAGAUUACCAUGCCGUUGGUAGUUGUCCAGUGAUCCAGUGGUCUUCCGGUGAUCCAGUAGUCUUCCGGUGAUCCAGUGAACUUCCAGUGAUCCAAUUAGGAGAAGUGUCUCUUUUAUGUCCAGCUUCACCAGUAUAAAGGGUUAGUGACCCUAAAUAGUGACCCUAAAUAGAGACCCAGACCAGUGAGAGGAACAUAGUAGGAGUUCUGAAACCCCUAGUUUAUCUUAGUCAAUGUAAUGUUACAUGAACUUGGUGAAGAACUGAGACAGAAUUCAAUUCGGAACAUGAUUGAUAUUGAAAACUGCAAUGGGGGAGUGAUGUUAUCUCAUACACAGUGUAAAGGGUCAUUGCUGUUUAAUAGGUAUAGUACACUACAGUGCUGUUUGUUUUACACGGUUACAUUUCAUACCAAAAGGCUUACAAUAGGCCUAUCUUUGUAUUGUUGCUAAAUGUAACAAUGUUGUUUAGGAAUGCCAUAGUGAACUGAAGAAUUAUGACUGCUUCACAAAGCACCCUUGAAUGUCUAUUCAUGUUUAUUUUUAUGAUACAGCAUGUAUCAAUACUAUGAAUAAAAACCUAUAAACGGA